ensembl:snRNA U6 U6 spliceosomal RNA
GUGCUCGCUUCGGCAGCACAUAGACUGAAGUUGGAAUGUUACGGAGAAGAUUAGCAUGGCCCCUGCACAAAGAUGACACACAAAUGCGUGAAGCGUUCCAUAUUGUU